rnacentral:lncRNA from 1 species
UUUUCUUGUAAUAACAACAUUCUUACACAUGUCUUCGGCCCUUUCCUGAGACAGAAGAGACUCAGCACUGAGAUGUGCGUGUCCCACCUCCCAGUCAAUCUGACCUGUGACUGUGAACAUCAACCUCCACGAGUGUGUACCUUCAGGUAAGUGUGUACCUUCAGGUAAGUGUGUACCUUCAGGCAAGGAAUGGCUCUCUCAGGAGCUCCUGCAAAACAAAGAGGUGCUACGGAAAGGUGACAAACAUUUGUCUGCAGGCAAUAUGGCUUCUGGGUGUCUUUACCGCACGUGGUGCUAAAACGUCAAAGAGCCACAGCUUUGGCAGAUCAGCCAGUCAAGGACUUGGGUGGACCUGCCUGGACGAUCUUUCCUUCACAGAGAAAAUGUGGACCUCAAACAUGCUACAGUCAUCCCUCAGUACCCAUGGGGCUGUGGCUCCAGGGCCCUCCUCUUGGCACCAAAGUCCAUGGGUGUUCACAUUCCUUAUAUAAAAUGGCCUAGUAUUUGCAUACGACCCACAUACCUUCCUCCCCAAUAAUUUCAAUCAUCUCUAGAUUAUUUACAGCACAUAAUACAAGGUAAAUGCUCUAUCAGUAGCUAUAAACACAAUGGAAAUGCUAUGUAAAUAAGUGCCGGUGUGGCAAAUUCAAAUUUUGAUUUUUGAAACCACUUGGCAAUGUUACUAAUGUUUUCGAUCUGAGGUAAGCUGAAUCCACGGAUGCAGAAUCCACCCAUGGAUAUGGAGGGGCGGGGAUCAACCCGAGCCACCACAGUGACCUGCUAUGCCACCAGGGAACUCCAAGCGUUAAAUAUUGAACACUGGUAAGAUCCAACAGUAAUAAGAGUGGGGGAAUCAAAGAUUCAUAUUAUACCACUGAGCCCAGGGAAUGAUGGUCUAUAGGGAGUAAGAGUCACCAACACAGGGAAGUUCAUUACAAGGAGGAUGGCAUUAGGUGCUAUGAUAGUAACACAGACUGGAGUGGAUGCUUCAGUACAGAGACUUAAAAGGUAAGACAAGUAAGGUAAGACAGACCUUCAGGAUGGUAUAGAGCUCCAACUAGUGACUGCAGGAUGUGCAAAGGUGGGGACAUACAAAGACGGCCACAAGCACGGAGGAGAACAAAAGGCAGGAAGAGGGACCCUGGAAGCUGAGAAGCCCUGAGUGGGAAGGGACACUUUUCUGGCUGUUCCCAAAGUAGGCAAGUGGACUGGAUCUUUACAGCAUCGUCACAAAGGAGAGGAUAUCAUCAGUGGUGUAAUUCUGGGUGGCCCUGCCCUGGCCAAACUGCCCAGAAAUUCUCAAGCUUUAUCACCAUUUCUCAGGCUUCAGUGGACAGUCCCACCCUCUCUUGCUCCAGGCAUGUCUCCCCCAUCUAGCUUCCCCUGUAAUGCUUCUCUUCAAAGCAGUGCUGACGGAGAAGGUCAAACCUACGUUCAGGUCAUCGCAUAUAUAAAAGAGAAAAUACAUCUCCCAUGUGUGUACACUUUUGCCUCUCUUUAAGAAAUCUGAUAUGCAAACAUUUACAGUUGAAAAGCAGAUAAAUCAAGGAGAAACAAAAUAGUCUUCACUUUAUAAAAGAAUGUGCCACCGGAUCUGCUUAAAUAGUGAGUUUUCCCUAAUUGGAUGCAGUUAAAAUGUGAUUUGCUUUGAAAAAUGGGGUUUACACUCUCAUUUAAAAAUAUAUCUAUUGUAUAAGAGCAAUCUAGGCUUAUUCACUCUGAUUAUUAUAAUAACCACUGAUGAGCUGCAUGAAAGUGGCAAAUCUCAUAAAAUACCUGUAUCUCCCUCUCUCUCUUUAGAGGGAAUGUAAUAUGUUAUUCAUUCUACCUAUUUAACAGAAAUAGACUGUAAAUUGAACAGACUGUGCGUAUUGCUGAAUACAACUUGGGAAGGGAGUGAUUAACGCAAAUAAAUCCACACACAAAAUCUGCACCUCCAAAGUAAAAGAAGAUUAUCUAAUUAUUGGAUAAUUCAAGGAGAUCUAGGAAAUUGAGUUGGCAAGACAGUACGUUUUUGCCGAACAUUUCCCAAUCAAUUGCCUAGAUCACGCAAUUCCCUCACUGUAGGAGCUGUCUUCUGAAGAUAAAUGCAAGGCGUAUUGCCCCAUUGCUACUGCCGACACAUGUCCAAGUAAAUGAUGUCACUUCGUCUCAGUAGAAGAUGUUGGUGGCAUCUUUCUGACUUUGGGUCACACAUGCAUUUUGUCCUUUUCUGGGUGCAUCCAGGUAAACAAGAGGCAACUGAGAAAUCUAACUUGUGAAGGGUCAGGCUCCAUCAUUUGUUUAAUACGCUCCGGGCAAAAUCAGUACAAGGCAGUGAGAGCACUCAAUACAUUUUUUGCCAACAAUGACACAGAUUUGAAGAACCCAGCCCAGGCCCUCAGAAGGACUAACAAUGUGAUGUGUACGUAGUUCUUCCAGACUGUGAAUGGUCUGCUGUGUCUACAGGGAAGAUGGAAUGCUAGAUUAUGUUAACCGCUCCUAGUUAAAGAACAGAACUAUGAAGACAGGGGAUUAAGAGAUCAUAUAAAACUAGCUGUUGCUACUCCUCCAGGAGGCAGUUCAAAUUUAUUUUUUUUUUUUUAUUUUUUUGUCUUUUUAGGGCCGUGCCUGCAGCAUAUGGAGGUUCCCCGGCUAGGGGUCAAAUCGAAGCUGUAGCCGCCGGCCUACACCACAGCCAUAGCAACACGGGAUCUGAGCCACGGCUUCAACCUACACCGCAGCUCACGGCAACACUGGAUCCUCCACCCGCUGAUGGGUCGGGGAUCUGGCGUUGCCCUGAGCUGGGAUGUAGGCUGGCAGCUGCAGCUCCAGUUUGACCCCUAACUUGGGAACUUCCAUAGACAGCAGGUGCAGCCCUAAAAAGAAAAAUAAAAAGAAGAAGAGGAAGAAGAAAUAUAUCCAUAAUAAGGAUAUUAAAAGGGAAAAGAAUUUCCCAGUCGCCUGUACAAUUGGAAUCUUUCCUAUACCCACAGUCUGGAGUAAAAAGGAUUUCUCCCAUUAAAUGAGCAACCAUAAUAUGGCAAAAGACAUGGGAAAUUUGUACU